rnacentral:rRNA from 1 species
UACGUAGGCAGCGAGCGUUGUUCGGAAUUACUGGGCGUAAAGAGUGUGUAGGCGGUGCUCUAAGUCUGUUGUGAAAUCUCCCGGCUUAACUGGGAGGGUGCGGCGGAAACUGGAGUGCUCGAGGGUGGGAGAGGUAAGCGGAAUUCCUGGUGUAGCGGUGAAAUGCGUAGAUAUCAGGAGGAACACCUGUGGUGUAGACAGCUUACUGGACCACUUCUGACGCUGAGACACGAAAGCGUGGGUAGCAAACAGG